GAGCGACUGAACUGAACUGAAACUAAAACUGGAAUGAUACAGAGAUUAGCAUGGCCCCAGAACUAGUAUGACAUUUAAAUCUGUAAAGUGUUCCAUAUUUUU
rnacentral:snRNA from 1 species